rnacentral:lncRNA from 1 species
UCACCACUGCGGGAGCUUGGCUCGCCGACGAUGUAAGUGAACUAUUCAUUUCGUGUAUUUUAUGUAUACGUCACUUUGUGUUUAUUAAAUGAAUAACCCAUACUUUUUUGGUGUUUCCUGCUACAGCACAUCGACCUGGCCAUGGACUUGCUGCGAGAUCGAGCUCAAAGACAUCCAAAAUUAUUUGAUGUCCAUGGUCGAGUCAUAUUAAACACCGAGUUCUUGCGUGCCGUUAUAAUAAAGUAUCAGUCGCUCGAACUUAUGGGUAACGAGUACACGGUGCCAGAAUAUAUGCUCGAGUGGGUGAUAGGAUUGUCACCGAGUGUCGGGGGAAAAUCAUGGGAGGGUUAUACACUUAUGUACAUUCCAGCAUGCAUCAAUAAACACUAUGUUACGCUGGAGAUCGUUUUUGCUGACUCGACUAUAUAUGUGUACGACCCAGAUCAUUCAUGUUUGACACA